AACGAAAUUAAAGACCCAACUGCCACAUCUGGCCACAGCCAACUGCCCAAAUUAAGUAUAUCUAACCUCAGUCAUCUAAUCAUUGAUUGCCUUAGCAUUCACUCAACUCAAGCAACAUGUCUGAUCAUUAAUGUCCAUUUUCACUAUAGCUCAUCAAAUAAUUUCGGCUACCCGCUUGAAGUGCUCAACACCACUGAACAAGCCGUUCAUCACCAACACAUGCUCUCGUGUGAAGGUCUCUCCUUGGAUAUUAUAUGUGAGUUGGAAAGUGUUGGGCACCUCUUUCAUAUUUCUCACUUGGAUCUCUCUAUAUAUGGCCAGA
rnacentral:lncRNA from 1 species